AAACACCAGCUGCAAGAAAAGAAACUGAGAAGUGUGCCUACACCUCAAAGUAAAUAAGAAUAUAAGAAAGGAGCCUCUUCGUGGCUAAUUAUAGCAAAUACGAGAGAGAGCUGAAGCCUGAACUGAUUUAUGGACUAGCUAGAACCAUGAGUGCAUCAUGUACUCCACCUACUCUAGCUCUGCUGGAAAUUAUUUGCUUUCCUGCCAAGAACGUUUUGUGAGGGAAGAUCGUGCUCAGACAUGAAUGCGAGUGUC